rnacentral:lncRNA from 1 species
CUGGGAUUGGGGAAAGGAGUUUGGGGGGGUACGGACGAAGAAAGCGUCUUGAUAUUCUCGUGCCCACCGGCGGCCUUGCAUAGCGCAUUGUGGGUAACCGCCGCACGGCCGCAGCAUCCUGGGCGCGUCUCAGUUCCGUUGCGUGUGGCGUCCUACCCCUGCCGCGUGCACCGCCGCUGCCACGCCGGCCUCGCCUCGCCUCGCCUCGCCUCCGAUCCAUCAGCUGUGCCGACACGGGGGCUGCAGCCGACUCGGCGUAAUCUGCCAUGCGCGGGGUUUUGCGGCGGCCUCAUCACCGAAGGCGUCGCACGGCGGCUUGGUCAUAGCGCUUUGCCUGUGCGUGUGUGCUCAGCUGUCAUUUUGAGCCCGUCUUUAGGCCUUUGUUUAGUUUCGAAUUUUUUUUUUGUUUUUGUAACUGUAGCACUUUCGUUUUUAUUUGAUAAAUAUUAUUUAAUUAUAGAGUAAUUAGGCUUAAAAAAUUCAUCUCGCGAUUUACAGAUGAACUGUACAAUUAGUUUUUAUUUUCGUCUAUAUUUAGUGCUCCAUGUAUAUGCUGCAAGAUUCGAUGUGACGGAAAAUCUUAAAAAGUUUUUAGUUUUUGGGGUGAACUAAACAAGGCCUUA